AUCACCAUGGAAAAUACCCUUCGGCUAUUUUCUAAAUAAGGGGCUAUCUGGGGAAGUACUGAAGACACUACUGACAGAAGCCAUCAUGGUGCUAACAAAUUGUGGACUCGAAGUCGUGGCAGUCGUCUGUGACGGGCUAUCGUCUAAUGUUAUGAUGGGGCGACUGCUGGGGUGCCAUAUCCAUGCCAACAACACAGAGGACUUUCGGACAUUUUUCUCCCAUCCUGCUGAUGCUGACAAGAGCAUACACCUAAUUUUUGAUGCUGCACACAGUCUUAAACUGCUCAGGAACCUGUUUGGGGAUCACAAGGUGUUACAGAGCAGCCACUAUGGAACAAUCAGGUGGGCCUUUAUUGAAAGGCUGCAGCAACUCCAAGAGAAGGAGGGCCUCAGAGCAGCAAACAAGCUCACCAGAUCCCAUAUUGAGUUUGGCCGCCAGAUCAUGAAGGUCCGCCUUGCAGCGCAGACUCUAAGUUCAUCCGUGAGCAAAGCCCUGACCCACGCACGGCUCCUGGGAUUGACCGAAUUUGAAGGAAGUGACGCAACCGCUUCGUUCAUUGCCGACGUAGAUGACAUUUGAUUUGCUUAAUUCGCACAGUCCCAUUGGCAAAGGAUUUAAGGCACCACUUCGCAAUGGAACAAUUUCCCAGCAAGGAAAAAGGAUGCUUACAUUGUCGUCAAGAAUGAUGACACUGCGACUUCCAUCCGGGGAGC